UGGAGGGGAGGGACAUCAUGGGGUGGGGAGGAUGGUGAGGGAUAACACCAGGAGGAAUGCCUGAUGUAGGCAAUGGGGCGGGGCAGGGGGAUGGAGAUAGCAAACUACCAUGGCAUGUAUGUACUUAUGCAACAAUCCUGCAGGAUGCAGGAUGUGCACAUGUACCCCAGAGCCCAAAGUACAAUAAAAAAAGAAAAGAAAAGAAAGAAAAAAGCCUAGUUUUAUUCUUGCCACAAUUAUUAUUCUUCCUUCUUUCUCCCCAUUAAAGUUUAAUGCUGCACUCUCAGCAAGGGUGCUUUUCCUUGAUUGAUGGGCACUUCAUCAGCUGAAUCCAUGUGGAAUGAUAACCAACAGAAGGCCCAGUGGGAAGAACAAGCUCCCUCAGCUGGGAGUGGUGCUCCUGAAAGUCUCUGCAGAAGAAUCCAGAACCAGUAUCCCUCAUUCAUUCAACAUCUAAUUACUGAGGUCUUUCUCUGAGACCAUCCAUGGGUUAGCUCAGAGAUAGACUGUGAAGACCAUUGCUUGUGGUCUUCCAAGGGGAAGUUCCUAAAAUUUCAGGAGCUCAGCCGUACUGAAGUUCUAUGGUGGAUGAAAUUAACAGGCCUUGGGAUUAUGGGGACCUGUGCUCCAUUCUUGUUUGAAUGCUGCUAACCCAUCAUUGCUCCUCUCAACCUCAGUUUCUUUCUCCGUGAAACAGCAUGGCAAUAGUAACUUUACGUAGAAUUAUGAGGAUUCAGCAGGGUGACCAUGUAAAGUGCUUCACAUAGACCUUGAUGCACAGUAAGCACUCAAUGUGAUGAUGAUAAUCUGUAAAAUGAAGAGAAUAAUGCUAAUCAUAUAUAGCUGUUAUAAAGAUUAAAUGAAAUAAGGCUUGUUACAUAGCUGGUACCUAGAAAGUGCUCAUCGAAUAGUUUUAAGGGCUAUUUCUUUAUGUUAGAAGUUUCAGACAGGUGUGUUGGCUCAUGCCUGUCAUCCCAGCACUUUGGGAGGUCAAGGCAGGAGGACAACUUGAACCCAGGAGUUCAAGACCAGUUUGGGCAACAUAGUGAGAUCCCAUCUCUACCAAAAAUAUUACUUGUGUAUGAUGGUGCAUACCUGUAGUCCCAGGCUAAGGUGGGAGGAUCACUUGAGCCCAGGAGGUCAAGAUUGUAGUGAUCUAUGAUCGCACCACUGCACUCCAGCCUGGGCAAGAGGCAGAAAGACUCUGAAGUCUAAGGAGAUGAAUUUCUGAAUAAAUAGUAGUUUUGACCUUUAAAGACAGGCUCUUCUUCUUCUUCUUCUUCUUUUUUGAGACAGAGUUUCACUCUGUUGCCCAGACUGCUGGAGUGCAGUGGCAAAAUCUCAGCUCACUGCAACCUCACCUCCCAGGUUCAAGCGAUUGUCCUGCCUCAGCCUCCCAUGUAGCUGGGAUUACAAGCACCCACCACCAUGCCUGGCUAACUUUUUUGUAUUUUUAGUAGAGACGGGGUUUCACCAUGUUGGCCAGGCUGGUCUUGAUCAGGCUGAUCUAAAACUCCUGACCUCAAGUGAUCUGCCCACCUCAGCCUCCCAAACUCUUGGGAUUAUAGGCAUGAGUCACAGUGCCCAGCCAACAGGCUCUUCUUGAAGCAUCUCCAGCAAAUGUGCAAAGGAAAGAAAUAAUUAUUUCUGCUAUUUGAGAAUAUGAAGUGUCUAUCAUUGCUUAUUAAAUUAUAAGAGAAUAGCAAAAUUGAGACAGCAAGAGAGAGGGAGAAAAGCUCUUGGAAAAGUAGAAAGAUAGGGCCAGUGACCCAAGGAGACUACAACAGUCAUAGAUCUCAUGGUCAGAGGAUAGGUGAUAAAUUUUCAGUUAACUAUUUGUGUCAAGCUUUAAGUUUAAAGUAUUCCCCCCAGUCCUGAGCUGUAAUUAUCCUCUGUUCACUCCAGAAUUCAUAAAUGUCUUUUAUACACACAAUCUUGGAUUGGUAGUGCUUGGGCAAGGAAACAGGAGAGACUUUGCUCAUGCUUAAGGAAAAAGGGCUGGAGAUGAACUCUGAGCACAAACUCAGAGCAAGAGGGAACAGGAGCUGCAUCUUUACCCCUUGGGAACAACCAUGGGGCAAUGAGGUGAGUCAUUUUAGUUGGGUAUUAAAACAGAGGGUUACUGUCCCAGAAGGCUGAGGAAUGCAAAUAAACAAAUUGAAAUAAACCCUCAGGAUGAUUUGCUUAUUAAUUAGGUUUCCAGGAAGGUCUCUUGGGAUCCAAACUACCUGAAAACAAAACAAAACAAAAUAGAGCAUACGCACGAGUAUCUGGAGAGUUAAGAAUGACAUUUUUUUUUUUUCAGAAGGCAAGACUAAUGGUGAUUCAGCCACAGUAGAGAAACAAGCUUUGACAACUCAAAAUAGUAUGUACAUCAGCCUUAAGCAUGGUUUCUAAAAUGCUUUUCCAGUCCCAGAGGGACCAAUUUGGCACUCAGGGCACACAUUUUCCAUGUGCCACCUCAAGAUUUGGCAUCAUAAUCAAUGAAGAGGAGCUUAAUGUGAUCUGGCUGGCCGAUUUCUCCCUUCUAUUUGGCAUUGCAAGGAAUUGCUGAAUACAUUAUAUGGCAAAAUGGAAAGAAAGAACAGGGAAGAACAUUGAAGGAAGAGAAGCCUGAUUAAUCCAUAACCUUUAAGUAAGGAACAGGACAACGAGAGAAACAGGUGCAGCAUUUAAUUAAAGCAUAGGGAAAGAAAUAGAAAGUGGGAGAAAUGAAUGAAGAUGUGAUGAUAAUACAGAAAUAGCCCCUGUUUAAUGAGCACCUACUACGUGCUAAUGCUGGGCUAACAGGUGUACCAAGUACAACAAGUAAAAGCAGGCUUGGUCCUUGUUCUCAUGGAGCUUACCUUCUGCAGUCUACACUACUGGACUAGGUUUCUGAGGCAAAGGUCACGUCCACUGAUAGACUGAGACGUCUGCAAACUCACCUCGUACCACUCUGUUCUCUAUCUUUUCUCAUCAGUCAUUCUGGAAUCUUCUCAGUUCUUCCAGCCUGCCAGGGUCUCCUGCUGCCCACAUACUCUUUAUUGCCUAAGAGCUCUUUUCCCCUUUGCUAUGGUUUUUUUUUUUUUUUUUUUUUUGAGAUGGGGUCUUGCUCUCUCACCUAGGCUGGAGUGCAGUGGUACAAUCAUGGUUCAUUGCAGCCUUGACCUCCCAGGGCUCAGGUGAUCCUCCCACCUUAGCCUCUCGAGUAGCUGGGAUCACAGGUGUGCACCACUACGCCCAGCUAAUUUUGUAUUUUUUGUGGAUAUGGUGUUUUGCCAUGUUGCUCAGGCUGGUCUCGGGCUCCUAGGCUCAAGUGAUCCUCCCACCUCAGCCUCCAAAAGUGCUGAGAUUAUAAGUAUGAGCCACUGUGCCCGGUAGUUUGGUUUGAAUAUUUGUCCCCUCCAAAACUCUUGUUAAAAUUUAAUCCCCAAGGUGUCAGUAUUUUGGGGUGGGACAUUUAAAAGGUGAUUGGUUUAUAAGGGCUGUACCCUCAUAAAUGGAUUAAUCCAUUCAUAAUGAAUGCAUUAAUGUAUUAGUGGAUUAAUUAGUUAUCCUGAGAUUAGGACUAGUGGCUUUAUAAGCGAAGGAAAAGAUACCUUAGCUAGCACACUCAGUUCCUCACCAUGUGAUGCCCUGCACUGCCUCAAGACGCUGCAGAGAGUCUCCACCAGCAAGAAGACCCUCACCAGAUACAGCCCCUGCACCUAGGACUUCUCAGGCUUUAUAAUUGUGAGAAAUAAGUUCCUUUUCUUUAUAAAUUACCCAGUUUCAGGCGUUCUGUUAUAAGCAACGUAAACCAGAUUAAAACACCUGUCUUACCUGGCAAUCUCCUUUUCAAUUCAGCAAAGACUUGGUCUUCUUUUGGGAAAUUCCCUCACCCCAGGCUAGCUUAGAGCUUCCUGUUACAUGUCCUCACAGUUCCCUGUAUGGCUUAAUUAAUACCUUGUAACCACUGGCUGCAGGCCUGUCUUUCCCACUACUCUGUGAUUUGUGAAGUUGCAGACUGGUUUGUUCACCAGUAUCUAGCACAGGGCCUGGCACGUGAAAGGUGCUUGUUAAACAUUGGGGAGGUUAAAGUUCUGUUCCUUACAGCCUAGAAGUUAUGGGUCUUAAUUUAAUUGAAUUUUUAACCUUGGAUUAAAUUUUUAACCUUUCUUUUCCCUUGUUUCUGUGACACCUUGGUAUUUCUUUAUUAGUAUAUUUCAUUUUUACACACAACAUCAAGGCAAAACAACGGAGAAAUGUGGCUGAAGAAGUAAGCGAUAUAUUUUUUUUCUGACUUAAUCAGCAGGUCCUGGGAGAAUGAAACAUUUUCUUUGAGGGAAAGACCGGAGCACUGGUAAAGAUGUUGCUGUAAAUCUCACUUGGACAGGGCACGCCAGUUUAAACUCUGCAGUGUUAAUCUAUGAUUACGGCUUUUCUCAUUUCUCGCAUUUGAAAAGGAAACAGACAUUUUCAUUGUGACUUUAGAUUACUAUGUUCUAUGAAGGCUUUAAACCCAGGACAUUGAAAAGGAGAAAAUUUCUACACUAGAAAAUGUAGGCAAGGAAACCUGCUUUUAUGAUGUUAAACUUUCUGUGGUGUGAUGUCAGGGUGGGCAGAUGCGUUUCUGUGUAAAGUUGCACCCCCUUGAGUGCCAGACAGCACCCAUAUUUAUUAGUCUGAGGAAAAUUUACCAGUGCUAUAGCGUCUACUAUAGAGAGCCAACUAAAUAAAGUAUGAUCUUUACAGUGGCCUUUCAGAAACUCUAAGUGCCUGCAAGUGGCCUAUAAAGGGUGAAUGAUUAACACAGCCCCUGAGUGAAAAUCAUAGAUGCUCUGUAGCUGAUUUCACUAAAUCAAGCAGUGACUAAAAUAGAUGACCCAGUGAGAAUCUUGUGUGGCACAGGAAGAAGUACAAGAACAUUUAGAGACCCUUAGACCAGGAUUCCAGACCUAACUCUACGGCUUACAAAGGAAGGGGCCUUGGGAGGAUCGGUCAUCCCCAUGAGCUUCCCUUCCCUUCCUGUAAAAUGGGUUUACUAGUCCAUAGGCACCAGAGGGCUUUGUAGAACCCCCCAGCCCAGGCUUUGUGGUGGCAGCCGCUUUCUCCCUUUGUUCUCUCUGCCCAGUUGUUGAGGGCCCAGUUUCCAGGCCUGCGCGGCACAGCUGUCCAAGUGGGGCCCUCUAGUUGAGGCUAAUUAUAAAGAAGGCUGGCAGGGUGAGAUAACUGUUCUCUUCCACUUUAGAGGUUUGGUUUAUUAGAAACAGAGCCCUGAGGGGAUUUCUAGGGCUAUUAGGAAGUUCAAAUAAUGUCUUGGGUACAAUGCAGUGAUUUCUGCGGGUCAAUUUUCCCUCCAACUAAAAGCACUUAAGAGAGCAGGGGGGCAGGGGUGAAGGAGGCUACCAUGAGAAAAACAUUGAAAAGAAAGGGGAAAAAGAGCUGUGCACCAGACUGACCAGCUCCAUAUUGCUGAGUUCUCAAAAAAAAAAAGAGAGAGAGAGCGAGAGCCAGAUCCCCAGCUACUUUGCCCAUGACCUCUGGGCAGGCAGCUCAGAGGGGAGGCGCGUCUUUGCAGCCCAGAGUCUGUGUGUCCGCGCGGGGCUCCCAGUCCCCGGGACAUGGGACUGGGGUCCUGGGAUCGCGGAACUGGCGGCGCCCUCUACGAGCUACGCUUUGAGGGUGGGUGGCCCCACGGAGCUCCCGCCGCCUCAGUGGCCCCUCGCGUCCCAGGCCCGCCGCUAAUUGACCUGCUGUUUUUUUCAUUUCCUGGUUGAUGGCUUUUCUUCCCGCUUCAUCUGGGACCGCGGCAGGAGAGUCCCGCCCCUCCCCGAGGGCAUCGCCCGACUGUCUCUCUGUCACCCUUGCCAGCCAGCAGAGCCCGGUGCGUUCAGAUGCGUGGGGGAGCGGCCACGGGCCAGGCCGCCGCCUGCUCGAGCUUACCGGAGGUCGGAGGAGACCUGACGCACUGGGGCCCCUGGGAUGCAGCAUGGAGCCUUCCUGUGGGUGUCCCCACCGCUACCCCCACAUCGGGGGCUUCCGCCAGGGGUCUCCGCCAGCCUCAAACUAUUCUUGCCUUCUGGGACAGAACGCAUUCUUUCCAAGUACAGACAGCGUGCCAGGCUCAGGGCUGCUGAGCUCUCUGUGCCGGCCUUGGACGUGUUGACUUGAAGGCGUCUCAUGGAGUCCUCCCCACAAACCUCUUAGAGGCGAGGCCAUCACCCUUUGGGGCCAGAGUGAAGAGGCUGAGGUUCAGGGGAUCAAGAGUAGCCCCAGCGCACACCUAGUGUGAUGGUGGUGCUUGUGGCUUCCCCAGCGAUCAUCCCUUGGGUCUUUCCCUGGGGACUUUGCUUCCCUUACUCCAAGCCAAGCAGUUUGGAUGGGAGGACCUCAUUCUGACGGUGGUUGCAUGGUGAUUGCAUGGGAUGAGCAGAGCUCCUCUAACCUGCCCUACUCAGCUGAGGGCUACUGGAGGCUUUACAUGGUUCUCUCCCUGAGAGGAAGGUGGGACAGCCGUCCGUUGGCCUGUCUUUCAGCGUAAGAGUAAUUGCCAGUUGCCUUGCCAGGCUAGCUGCCUGGGGAGCUUGACUAGGUUGUUCCCUGUGGGGUCAGUCUAGGAACAACUAAGUAAGCAUGGCUCACACCUGCCCUGCCCCAGAGUACUUUUGCUCCUGCGAAGGCUUACAGGACAAAGGGCUGGCCCUGGAGCACAGAGUGCUCCUUUGGCAUCGUAGGAAGAGGGGCUGUGGGGGUGAGUGGAGAGCUCUCCAUGAAAACACGUGCCUUCCUGUAGUCUGGUUAUCACGUGUAGAUAGGUAAACAUUCUUUGUCCAUACCCAUACAUUUAGGGGUAGACUUACCACCAUUUCCUUAUCCUUCCCUCCCAGCAAUGAAAUCUAGUAGGCCUAUUGUGCUGGUGGUGGGGGUACAAUCUUAAGGUGGAAGAGACAAAGAGGUGGCACUUCCAUUGCAUAUUUAUCAUGGCCAUGUCCAGUGGCCUCCCUCCGCACAAGCUCCUGGACUCCAUGAGCUCCGUGGUGCCCAACUGCUUAGACAGUUGACUGGAUUGGCAUAUUGUCAACCUAAAUAACAAACAGAGAGACUCUCUGAGAGCCCCUCUAUUCCCAAAGUUAUUUUGAAUAAAUAUCACUUUCUUUUAGAGAGCCUCCCUCUGUUAUUUAGGUUGACAGUUCAUGUGUUCAUUCACUCAACCUAAAGAUUUUCAGGCGCUGGGCCAGGCAUUGGUUUUCCAACUCCUAACACUAAUUUUCCUCAAGUAUUCAGAACAGAUUUUUAUAUUAUGUGGGGAAUAUUUAAGGAUUUAGAAAUUCAGAUUAGUACUACUGCUACUUUUUAAACUUAUAAAUUCCCACUCUCUUGAGGGAAAUCACAGCAAUUAAUUUUCAUUUCAUGUAUCUAGAAAAUUCUCUUCCUGUUUUAAAACAAAAAUGUUUUUCUGAUUCAGUCAGAAUCACAGCUAUUUACUGAAAAAGUAAGUAGCAGCUACAUACAUAACAACUGAAUAAAUAAGGAGAGAAAUCUCUUUAAAUAGGAUGAUGUAGGUUGAUUCACCUAACCAAAUUAUGGUUAUUUCAUUAACUCUCCAAUCGAAAUUCCAAAGCCUCAUUCUAUUUGCUGAGGUAAAUUUGUUUAACAUGAAGCUCUGACACCCUUUAUAAUAAUUACACUUCUAAAUGAAAGUUUAAUUUUUAAUCAUUUGCUUUGCUAAAAUAGAACAAAUGAGAGGAUAAUAUGACAAUUUAAAGGAUUUGCAGUAGAUCCCCUAGAGCUGGAGGAGACAUGAAUUUUUUCUGAGUACUGCUGACUAGUGGAGGAAUUUUAAGUAUGAUAAUAGAACUGCUUACUCACAAUGUUUGCUUCUUUGAUGAAAAUAAAACCAGAGGGAAUUAGAAGCCAACAGAGGUGAGGCAGGUCAGUGCUACCUGAUCAAUCACAGACCUUAAUGGGGACUGUGAUCUUUUCUCCACCAUAACAGGUCCUCUAGUGGAUUUCUGGACUUGAGAUUCAGGGCACUGCAAUGCAUUAUAAAAAUGAGCCAAUUCUCCGUGAAACAGAAUUAAAACAAUUUUCCUCUUAGAGGAGGUAGAUGCUAUUGUGUAUUUGCAAAUAAUGAAAUCCACACAAUAGGAGGGACAGCUUAGUUCAUCUCGUCCUUUGGCUAAAAGCUGUGAUUUUUGUUUUGUUUGCUUUUUAAGUCACUUUCCAGCAGUUGAGUAUGAUAUCUGCCCAGUUCAGGUUCAGAAUGUGAAUUCUUUUCAGAGCUAUUUUUAAUCAGAAUUACCAAAUAAUGAGUGAAAAACAAAGCCCUUUUAAAUUAAUAACUCUCUAGAUAAUAGGAUUGAUUAAGGAGUCUUUAAUCUCUCUUCAUUGUGACACACUCUUACAAAUAGCCACUUUUUUCUCUUUCUAGGAAUUGUGAAUUGGUGCAAUUCUCUUACCUUUUCACAUUCCUCAAUGCUUCAGGCAGCAGAUGAUACAAUUUUCAAUAUCACAUGUGCUUAUUUACUUAAGAUAAAAUGAAAACAGCAUAGAAGGGAAAUGUACUUGUGAUUCCCUUUUGUAGGACUGCUUUGAGCCUGAGCUCAGAGGUUGAGGGCUCAUUUUACAGUGGCCUUGACUUGUAAUCUAUAUUUUGUUUGAUUAACUGUCCCUGGUCCUUUUAAAACUGGUGAGAGUGCAGUGACAUUCACAGUAGUCAGAAUCUUUAGGAGUUCACAUAUGACUUUUCUAAAGCUUACUACCAUUAUUGUUUAUUGCACAGACAACUGUAAGGCACUAUUAAUAUAAAUCAAAGUGAAAGAAAAAGUUUAUCCACAGUCUUAAUCAAAUUGUUUUCAUUUUGCAAGUUUUCUCCCAAAUCUUUUUUAUGAACAGGAGAAUUUUUUACACAGUUGUAAUGGUAAGAUAGGUAAGAUUUUGUAUUUCACUUUUAAAUGUAAGGUACCAUACACAUUUUCAGUAUUACAUUAUAUUCUUCACAAUUAAAAUGCUUAUAUCUGUGUAAUAUUAAAUAGUGAGACUGUAAUUUAACCAUUUUUUCAUUUAUGAACAUUUAGAUUAAAAAUCAUAGUAUAUAAAUGUUGCUGUGAAGUGUAUUUUUAUUGUAUAAUUAAAAAAAAUCUUUUGGGUUAUCUCCUUGGUAUAAAGUCCUCAAAGUGAGGUCAGGUAUAAAGUCCUCAGAGUGAGAUCAAAGGGUAUGAAUAUUUUGAUUCUUUUUAGUAUAUGACAAAAUGGUAUUCUUAAUGAGUUGUACUCAUUUACACUUAAUUUUUGACAAUAUCCGUUUUAUCUGUUAGCAUUGGGAAUUCUCAUUUGAAUUUUUUUCUACUUGAACAGUUAGAAAGUGGGUAUAUUUUGACAUCAUUAUACUGUUGUCAGUAGACCAAGGAAUGUUGUCUCUCGCUCUCUUGGGAAAGAAUGUGACGGCACUUCUUUAGAUCCUUAACUCAUCAUUUCAUAAACUAAUAAUUAGGUUACAACCCAAGGAAAUAUUAUAUAGAAAUCUUAGCAUGAUUUAAUUUCUAUUUUCUCAUCUUCUCACUUUCUUUUUUCUGCUUCUAGUUGGGAUGUUAGAAGCAGAAGGGGUCCCAGCUGGGAUGAAAGGGGGAUAUGGUGUUACUGUUCUGCAGAUCAUUCACCCAGUGCCUUGUCAUUCCCUGUGUCUUUGCUUAUGCUCUCCAUUUAGCUUGGAAAACCCUUUCCUUUUGUCCCCACUUUAAUGACUGUGGUAGGCAGAAUUCUAAAAUCAAGAUUCCCAGCUCUACUCCCCAGAACUCAUUGUUUGAUAAGCUAUCACUCCCAUGAUUAUGUUUUGUUAUAUGGCAUAGUUGACUCUAAGAUAGGAUUAUCUGGGUGUACUUGACCUCACCACAGGAGUUCUUUUAAAAGCCCAGAGUUUUCUUUUCUGAUCGCAGAGGGAAAGUCACAGAUUUGAAGCUCUUGGAGGGAUUUGGCAUGCCACUGCUGGCUCAGAGAUGGAGGUGGCCACGUGCCAAGGAAUGUGGGCAGCCUUCAGGAGCUGUGAGUAGCCCCAGCUAAUAGCCAGCAAGGAAAUGGCGACUUCGACCUGUUGCUGCAGUCAGCCAGCAACCUGAAUGAGCGUGGAAACAGAUUCUUCCCUGGAGCUUUCAGGGGACGUAAGACAGUGAACAUAAAGAGAGCUGAUCUUUCUACCACAGGCUGAACACUUUGGAAACACUGGAUGUAUCACUGAAAAAUGCUAUGGAAUUAGAUACACAAUUGUACAAAGACUAUUCCUUCUCCAUUGAAUUACCUUGGAUUCUUUGUUCAAAAUCAAUUAACCAUUGUUGGAGGAGGAGUUGAGUCAGAGGUGACUGGAUCACGAGGGUGGAUUUCCCCCUUGCUGUUCUCAUGAUAGUGUUCUAUAAAGUCAAAUCCACGGCUGUAGUCACCCGAAAAGCAGCAGUAAAGGAAUUCCUACAAGGGAGUUCCCCAUAUCUUCCUAAGAUGGGGCCAGUUGGCAUUUCAAAGAAAGAAGCACUGAAUACUAGGAUGAUCAGUCCAGAGCAUUCAUUAAGGGAACUCCUGUACAGAGGAGUCCGCUACAGAUCAUCGAGUCAGAUGGUAAGACAAGGGAUGUUCUACCUAGGUACAUCUGCCUUAAGGGGGUCAGGUUAUGGGGUUUUAUAUGAGAGUUUAAGGAAUUUGGUUAGUGACACUGGCUAAUUUCUACGUGUUUACCAAAAGAGUUAUGUUCUCAGUGUUUUUCAGCAACAAUCUAAGCAGCUUUAUUGGUGCCUGAGAAUGUUCAUAGCCCCUGGUUGGGUUCAAACCUGCAGGGAACAUGUAGCUGGCCAGGUCACAGAGAGGUCAAGACACUCUGUUUCUAGAUCAGGAACAUGUGUGUGCUUUGGGGAGCUGCAUGGGGGACACUGUGGAACUUGUAGUAGGCCUAGUCUUCCAUUAUUACAUUUUGUUUUCAGGAUUUUCCCAAGUAUGUUAAUUGGUUUUUCCAUGUGAACUUUAGAAUCGUGUGUUCUAAAGCAAAGUUAUGGAUACUUUUUAUUAAACCAUAUUAAAUGUCUAAAUUAACUUGGAGAUCACUGAUGUUAUUUAUCUAAAGAUAUCUAAGAUAAUGAUAUCUUUCCUUUCAUUCAGGGCAUCGCUUCUGUCCUUUAAUGAUGUUUACAAUUUUUCUUACACAUUUCUUUUAAAUUUGCCCCUAGGCAUUUUGUCUUUUUUGUUGCUACUAUAGUAUAUGAGGUAUUUUCUUCCCAUUAUAUCUUCUAACUAGUUGUAUAUAUAUGUAUAAAUAAAAGCUAUUAACCUCUACAUCGUCAGGUAGUACCCCAGUAUCCUUUUAAAUUCUCACACCAGUUUUUCAGUUGAUUCUUUUUGAUUUUCUAGGUACACAAUUAGAUCAUCUUCAAAUAAUGAUAGUUUUAUCUUCUCUUUCUAAUUUUAUGACUUCAGUUUAUUUUUUUCCCUGCUAUCAAAUUACAUUGACUAGUACAUUAAGUACGUACAUCAAGGAAGCAGGUUAUUUUAUGUUAAAUGAUGAAGAGCUAGUUGGCAUCCUUAUCUUGCACUUAAUUUUGAUCAGAAUGCUUCUGGUGUUUCCUCAUUAAGCAUCUCAAGCUGAGAUACAUUUAUGCUAUUAUGUUAAGAAAAUAUUUUUUUUGAAUCCUAUAUUAUGUAUUUUUUUGAAUCUAGAAUAGUUGCUGUCUCUUUAAAGGCAAUAUGACACACUUUCAGGGACUGAUGAGAAUCCAAGAUCUCCUUGCUGGACCGCAAAUCAUAAUUUAGAGUUAUGCCUUAGGAAGGUCAUAUAGAUUAUUUUUCUUAUAACUAUGAUUUUACAUUUGUUGAAGCUUAUUUAAUCUUUAGGCCAGGCAUGGUGGCUCAUGCCUAUAAUCCCAGCACUUUGGGAGGCCAAGGCGGGUAGAUCACGAGGUCAAGAGAUCGAGACCAUCCUGGUCAACAUGGUGAAACCCCGUCUCUACUAAAAAUACAAUAAUUAGCUGGACAUGGUGGUGCGCGCCUGUAGUCCCAGCUACUCGUCGGGAGGCUGGGGCAGGAGAAUUGCUUGAACCCAGUGGGCGGAGGUUGCGGUGAGCUGAGAUCGUGCCAUUGCACUCCAGUCUGGGUAACAACAGCGAAACUCCGUCAAAAAAAAAAAAAUCUUUAACUGCCCAUCCACUUAGCCUCAUAAGACCUUUCUGUUUCAUUAUAAUAAUUAUAUUAAAAUUUAGCCAUUGUACUGUUUUUAUAACAAAAAUCACAUUGUUUAAUUUAUAAUGUAUUAUAUUCUGUUAAGAUAUAAUGAAAAAAUAGUGGUGGUUAGUAAAGAAGAUGUGAUAGAUGUUGUCAUUCAGUGUGCCAUUUAAGAUUAAUGUGCAUCAUCAUAUGAAUUAUACAUACGCAGUUCCAUGUAUAAUUUCAGUUGCAUUAUAAUCAUCACAUAAU